rnacentral:tRNA from 1 species
GCCCGGGUGGCGGAACAGGUAGACGCAGAGGACUUAAAAUCCUCUGGGCCGGGAGGCCCGUGCGGGUUCGAGUCCCGCCCCGGGCACCA